AAAAAAACCCAAGGAACUUUGAAGAGACUAAAGGCUAUAUUCUAAGGCAUUUCAGACUCCAAUAGUUUAUAAACAUCUCUGUAUUCUAUUGCAUUGUUUUGUUUAAGAUAUAACUUUGUGAUUUUAAAUUCAUAUAUUACUGGAUUGAAUAUUAUUCUGUGAACUGAAGGUUGAUUGAAUUUAUUUAGAAUGUACUGAGUUUUAGGUGUCUAUUAGGUGUACUGAGUUUUAAAAUUCUGUUGUUUUUCCCCUAUAACUGUGUUGAUACCUACAUAUUUGUACUACUGUAUUUUUAAAGAUGAAAAAAUUGUUAACCUUGUUCAAUUCAUUUGCCUUCUACU
rnacentral:lncRNA from 1 species